GACGUAGGGCGCGAGCGUUGUCCGGAUUUAUUGGGCGUAAAGAGCGUGUAGGCGGCCUGACAGGUCAGCUGUGAAAACUCGAGGCUCAACCUCGAGACGUCGGUUGAAACCAUCUGGCUAGAGUCCGGAAGAGGAGUGUGGAAUUCCCGGUGUAGCGGUGAAAUGCGCAGAUAUCGGGAAGAACACCCGUGGCGAAGGCGGCACUCUGGGACGGUACUGACGCUGAGACGCGAAAGCGUGGGGAGCGAACAGG
rnacentral:rRNA from 1 species